CAAUUAGUCAACAAUCAGCAUUUAAUAAUAAAAAUGUAAAAAAAUGUAUAAAGUAUUUCUAUUUAUUAUAGUUAUCUCCAAGAUAUUUACAGAACUGUUAAUAAAUUAUGGGACCUGUGUUACUAAGGUUUUAUUAAUUAAAAAAAAGUUGAAGUGGGCAGUAGCUGGUAAACACUGUACAUGUUUAUAUGAUAAAUCAGCCUGCAGUUAUGAUUGAAUAGGAGGUUAUGAAUAUGGAACAUUUUUAGCUUCUCUAAUUUUGGAUUAGUUUUAGUGUAGUCUGAAGUUCUUAUAUAACCACUUAAAAUUGUGUUGCUGGGACAUGCUGCAGUCCUAUAAAACGAGUGUUCCUGAAGUCCCGUCUCCAAAAGUCCCACAUUUGUACCACUACUGCUAACAGCACAGCUUAGGCAGGACCCUACAAUAUGUACGCAUUGUUUUAGGUCUAUGGUAAAACCCCUCUUUGGCCUGAGUUUCUUGAACAGGCUCUGGAUCACCUCGGCCUUGCUUUGAAAUAUUAUUGAUUGAUGGAUGGAAGUGUUACAAAGCAUUUUUAUUUAUUGUAGCUUUAUCUGCUUUUUUAAUGAGGGAUGUCUGUGCUAGGCAGCUUUUAUUGCCUGUGACUUUGUGGAAAAAGUGACUUCGGAGUUAUGAACACAGUUCGGUUACAAACGGACCUCUGGUCCCAGUGUGACUGCAAAUUCAGGAGCCGCCGUAAAUGUACAUAAAUUUACACUGUAUGCCAAAUACAAAUUGCUAUAUACUGAAAUAUACAAACAAAGUGCAUAGGUUGUUAACAUUAAAAUCACUUGGACUACAAGUUACGUAAUUUUUUAAGAUGUACUUUAACUAUAAACAAAAUUAAAUAACAUUAUAAGACAUGAAUAUUGAAAAUACACACACUAAUAUAUGACAAUGUGUACUAACAGCCUAGAUGAAAGUAAUAAAUAUAAUAUUUUCUCUGUUUGAGUCAAGGUCUUCAAGUGGAUGCAGGUGUGCUAAAGGGACAGUCAGCAGGGUGGGGGGGGUUUGUGUUCAUUGUAUGGAACGCAGUCUGGAGACAAGACUACACCAAAGGAGCAGCUCAUCCUCAGAAUGCGUGCACGAAAUGGCCACAAUGCCACCUGACCAAGAGCAGGAGGACAUGACUCUGACUCAGGAUGAAGCUGUGGAGGCAAGUGCAGGGCUAGACAUAGAGGAAGAAGAUCAGGAAAGUACUGGAGCUGAAGAGGAGAUGCAGCACAGCAAUCAGGAGGAAGAAGAUGAGGAAGGUGGAAAGGGUGUUAAAGAAGAGGAGUGUAAGGGACUGGUGGAAGAAGAGAGGCAAGAAGGGGAAAAGGAAAGGAGAUGGGAUGUAAACAAAGGGGAGACAGGUGGUGAAACAGAAAUAGGUAGAAGAGAAGAGAAUGAGGACAGUGAGGUGGAGAUCACUGAAGAGGAAGUAGGAACAGGCGAGGGAGAGGGAUCAUCAGGUUCUGGAGACCCUGAGCAUGGAGAAAGUGAUGGGAUACCAGAGCAGAGUGAAUGUGUGGAACAGGAGCAAGAGGAGGUGUCUGAUGAAGAGGCUGGAGAGAAGUUACCAAACUUGGAGCAAGAGGGAGUCCAGGAAAAAGGAGAUGGAGUAAAGGUAGAGCUGGAGGGUGAUGAGGAUGAUGAAGCCCAAGGAAGUGGACAUUUUGAGGAGUGCAACGAAGAAGAAGGAGAUGCAGAAGGGGAAAGAAAGAGCAUGAUUAGUCUCAGUGAGAGCAGUGAUGAUGAUGAGGGAGAGGAUGGAGAGAAAGGAAGAGAUACUAUGAAGGAAAGCGCAAAGGAACAAGAGGCGAUGGAGGAUGAUAUCAGUAUGGAAGAAGAAGAGGCAGAUGAGGAAGAGAUUAAUGAAGAAGAGGCAGAAGACAGCGAAAAGAAAGACAGAGAGGGAAGUGGAAUAGCUGAAGACUCUGCAGCUUCAAACAGCGGCGAUAAGGAGAGUAAGGAAGAAUCAGACUCGGACGAUGAAAUAAUCAGCUCGCAGCUGGAAUACAGGAAAAUUGAAGCAACCAAUGAAAGCUGGAAUCUGGAAGGCUGGAAUACUAAAGCUAAAGAAAAUAUGGCAAAGAUUGAGGAGGAGGAAGAGGGGGAAGAAGAUGGGGAAGAACACAGGAUGAACAACAAGAAGGCCAAAUAUGAGAGAGCUUCCAUUCGAAAUGUCAUGACUAACGAUGAGGCGGGCGAGUCGGCUGAUGUUCAGGAAGACAUUGAAGGUCUUCUAGCUCCACGUAGAAGUUCUCCAAAACCUCAUGUUUCAGACACUGUGGAGGAGAAGGCAACAGGAAGAGCCCCAGCUCUGAAAGAGGUACCCAGCAGCCACCCUGCGUGUAAUGCACCCAGGGAGAAAAAAAAAAUCAGCGUGAAACCUAAAGCUUUGUGGCACGACUCGGAGAGCGACUCGGUAGAGGAGCCGCUGGCUCGCGAGAACCCGGCCGCACCGUCGAUGGAUGACCAGGACGACUUUGAUGGCUUCUAUGAUUAACAAAGAUGAGAUCGAGCAGCUCCACUAAUUCAUGGCAAAUGCCAGCCCAAAAAAGUAGAGGCAUACUUAGCAACACUGUGUACAGAACACUUACUAGAAUCUAAACACCAC
rnacentral:lncRNA from 1 species